rnacentral:rRNA from 1 species
UACAGAGGGUGCGAGCGUUGUUCGGAAUUACUGGGCGUAAAGCGCGCGCAGGCGGCCUUUUAAGUCUCGUGGUGAAAUGCCGGGGCUCAACCCCCGUGCCCGCGGACGAUACUGGGAGGCUGGAGGACGAGUAGAGGCAAGCGGAAUUCCGGGUGUAGCGGUGAAAUGCGUAGAGAUGUGGAGGAACACCAGUGGCGAAGGCGACUCUUUGGCCUGUAACUGACGCUGAGGCGCGAAAGCGUGGGGAGCAAACAGG